rnacentral:rRNA from 1 species
AACGCUGGCGGCGUGCUUAACACAUGCAAGUCGAACGAGGAUCACGGAGAGCUUGCUUGAAAUGAUUGAGUGGCGGACGGGUGAGUAACGCGUGAAUAAGUCCUGUCCUAUACAGGGGGAUAACGCAUCGAAAGAUGUGCGUAAUACCGCGUAGGACCACGUCGGGGCAUCCCGAUGGGGUGAAAGGAGCAAAUCCAGUAGUAGGGUGAGUUCGCGUCUGAUUAGAUAGUUGGUGAGGUAACGGCCCACCAAGUCAACGAUCAGUAGCCGACCUGAGAGGGUGAUCGGCCACAUUGGGACUGAGUCACGGCCCAGACUCCUACGGGAGGCAGCAGUGGGGAAUAUUGGGCAAUGGGCGAAAGCCUGACCCAGCAAACCGCCGCGUGAGUGAAGAAGGUCUUCGGAUUGUAAAUCUCUGUCCUAUGUGAAGAGAGAAAGACGGUAGCAUAGGAAGGAAGCCCCGGCUAACUACGUGCCAGCAGCCGC